CCUACGGGUGGCAGCAGUGAGGAAUAUUGGUCAAUGGACGAGAGUCUGAACCAGCCAAGUAGCGUGAAGGAUGACUGCCCUAUGGGUUGUAAACUUCUUUUAUAUGGGAAUAAAACAAGGCACGGGUGCCUUCUUGUAUGUACCAUAUGAAUAAGGAUCGGCUAACUCCGUGCCAGCAGCCGCGGUAAUACGGAGGAUCCGAGCGUUAUCCGGAUUUAUUGGGUUUAAAGGGAGCGUAGGUGGGUUGUUAAGUCAGUUGUGAAAGUUUGCGGCUCAACCAUAAAAUUGCAAUUGAAACUGGCAGUCUUGAGUACAGUAGAGGUAGGCGGAAUUCGUGGUGUAGCGGUGAAAUGCUUAGAUAUCACGAAGAACCCCGAUUGCGAAGGCAGCUUACUGGACUGCGACUGACACUGAUGCUCGAAAGUGUGGGUAUCAAACAGGAUUAGAUACCCCAGUAGUC
rnacentral:rRNA from 1 species